rnacentral:rRNA from 1 species
AUUGAACGCUGGCGGAAUGCUUUACACAUGCAAGUCGAACGGUAGAGGGGGCAACCCCCUUGAGAGUGGCGAACGGGUGAGUAAUAUAUCGGAACGUGCCCAGUCGUGGGGGAUAACGUAGCGAAAGUUACGCUAAUACCGCAUACGAUCUAAGGAUGAAAGCGGGGGAUCGCAAGACCUCGCGCGAUUGGAGCGGCCGAUAUCAGAUUAGGUAGUUGGUGAGGUAAAGGCUCACCAAGCCAACGAUCUGUAGCUGGUCUGAGAGGACGACCAGCCACACUGGAACUGAGACACGGUCCAGACUCCUACGGGAGGCAGCAGUGGGGGAAUUUUUGGACAAUGGACGCAAGUCUGAUCCAGCCAUUCCGCGUGCAGGAUGAAGGCCCUCGGUUGUAAACUGCUUUUGUACGGAACGAAAGGUUUGUCUUAAUACGAUGAGNUCAUGACGGUACCGUAAGAAUAAGACACCGGCUAACUACGUGCCAGCAGCGCGGU